rnacentral:rRNA from 1 species
GACGAACGCUGGCGGCGUGCUUAACACAUGCAAGUCGAACGGAAAGGCCCUGCUUUUGUGGGGUGCUCGAGUGGCGAACGGGUGAGUAACACGUGAGUAACCUGCCCUUGACUUUGGGAUAACUUCAGGAAACUGGGGCUAAUACCGUAUAGGAGCUCCUGCUGCAUGGUGGGGGUUGGAAAGUUUCGGCGGUUGGGGAUGGACUCGCGGCUUAUCAGCUUGUUGGUGGGGUAGUGGCUUACCAAGGCUUUGACGGGUAGCCGGCCUGAGAGGGUGACCGGCCACAUGGGGACUGCGAUACGGACCAGUCUCCUACGGGAGGCAGCAGUGGGGAAUAUUGCACAAUGGUCGGACGUCUGAUGCAGCAACGCUGCGUGCGGGAUGACGGUCUUCGGGUUGUAAACCGCUUUCGCCUGUGACGAAGCGUGAGUGACGGUAAUGGGUAAAGAAGCACCGGCUAACUACGUG